rnacentral:rRNA from 1 species
UGCAAGUCGAGCGGAGGUAUAUCGUAGAAGGAUUUAUCUGGAAGUGAUAUACUUUAGCGGCGGACGGGUGAGUAACGCGUGAGCAAUCUGGCCUAUACAGGGGGAUAACACAGGGAAACUUGUACUAAUACCGCAUAAUCUCCUUUGGCCGCAUGACCGAGGGAAGAAAGUGGCAACACGGUAAAGGGGGAGCUCGCGUUCUAUUAGAUAGUUGGUGAGGUAACGGCUCACCAAGUCAACGAUAGAUAGCCGACCUAAGAGGGUGAUCGGCCACACUGGAACUGAGACACGGUCCAGACUUCUACGGAAGGCAGCAGUAGGGAAUAUUGGGCAAUGGAGGGAACUCUGACCCAGCAACGCCGCGUGAAGGAAGAAGGUUUUCGGAUUGUAAACUUCUAUCCUUGGUGAAGAUAAGGACGGUAGCCAAGAAGGAAGCCCCGGCUAACUACGUGCCAGCAGCCGCGGUAAUACGUAGGGGGCAAGCGUUGCCCGGAAUGAUUGGGCGUAAAGGGCUCGUAGGUGGCAUGUCAAGUCUGAAGUGAAAGUCCUACUUUCAAGGUGGGAAUUGCUUUGGAAACUGGCAAGCUUGAGUAUAGGAGAGGUUAGUGGAAUUCCUAGUGUAGCGGUGAAAUGCGUAGAGAUUAGGAGGAACAUCAGUGGCGAAGGCGACUAACUGGACUAAAACUGACACUGAGGAGCGAAAGUGUGGGUAGCAAACAGGAUUAGAUACCCUGGUAGUCC